rnacentral:rRNA from 1 species
UACAGAGGGUGCAAGCGUUAAUCGGAAUUACUGGGCGUAAAGCGUGCGUAGACGGUUAUUUAAGUCAGGUGUGAAAGCCCCGGGCUCAACCUGGGAAUUGCAUUUGAGACUGAAUAGCUAGGGUGCGGAAGAGGGAAGCGGAAUUUCCGGUGUAGCGGUGAAGUGCGUAGAUAUCGGAAGGAACACCAGUGGCGAAAGCGGCUUCCUGGUCCAGCACCGACGUUCAGGCACGAAAGCGUGGGGAGCAAACAGG